GCACAUGCAUGCACACACAUGCACUCUCUCUCUCUCUCACACACACACGUUCGGCUUCUGGGAAGUCAAUUUGUUUCAAAAUAUAUAUCACAAUAAUAAAGCCUGUGUGUGUGUGUGUGUGUGUGUGUGUGUGUGUGUGU